AUUGAACGCUGGCGGCAUGCCUUACACAUGCAAGUCGAACGGCAGCACGGGGCAACCUGGUGGCGAGUGGCGAACGGGUGAGUAAUGCAUCGGAACGUACCUUUCAGUGGGGGAUAACGUAGCGAAAGUUACGCUAAUACCGCAUAUUCUGUGAGCAGGAAAGCAGGGGAUCGCAAGACCUUGCGCUGAUUGAGCGGCCGAUGUCAGAUUAGCUAGUUGGUGAGGUAAAGGCUCACCAAGGCGACGAUCUGUAGCGGGUCUGACAGGAUGAUGCGCAACAAUGGAACUGAGCAACGAGCCAGGCUCCUACGGGAGGCAGCAUUGGGGAAUUUUGGACAAUGGGCGCAACCCUGAUUCAGCCAUGCCGCGUGAGUGAAGGAGGCCUUCGGGUUGUAAAGCUCUUUCGACCGGGAAGAAAUCGCACGGGCUAAUACCCUGUGUGGAUGACGGUACCGGAAUAAGAAGCACCGGCUAACUACGUGCCAGCCGCCGCCGUAAGAC
rnacentral:rRNA from 1 species